UAGGGAAUCUUCGGCAAUGGACGAAAGUCUGACCGAGCAACGCCGCGUGAGUGAAGAAGGUUUUCGGAUCGUAAAACUCUGUUGUUAGAGAAGAACAAGGACGUUAGUAACUGAACGUCCCCUGACGGUAUCUAACCAGAAAGCCACGGCUAACUACGUGCCAGCAGCCGCGGUAAUACGUAGGUGGCAAGCGUUGUCCGGAUUUAUUGGGCGUAAAGCGAGCGCAGGCGGUUUCUUAAGUCUGAUGUGAAAGCCCCCGACUCAACCGGGGAGGGUCAUUGGAAACUGGGAGACUGGAGUGCAGAAGAGGAGAGUGGAAUUCCAUGUGUAGCGGUGAAAUGCGUAGAUAUAUGGAGGAACACCAGUGGCGAAGGCGGCUCUCUGGUCUGUAACUGACGCUGAGGCUCGAAAGCGUGGGGAGCAAACAGG
rnacentral:rRNA from 1 species